GUAAAAAUGUGAAUCACAUUGCCAUUGACUGCAGCAAACAGGUGACCUCCAUUGCUAAAGGAACACUACAGGGAAAGACAGCAAAUGAACAAAUUUUGGUUCCUGGAGGAUGAUGUCCAGCACUGAGUAUGGCAAACAAGCAGACUGAUAAAGAUGCGAACAGAUCGAUCCAGAGAAGAGGUGGCAAUGAGAGGUUUGCGGAUGCAGGUAUCUAGACCGGUGAUGGAUGAUGAGUGUAAGGGGUACAUCAGAUACUCAAAGUGAGCAGGCUCCCCCUGGAGAAAUUGUACAGAAUGAAAUCCAGCAGGCCAGUAUACAAGGUUUGAUUCUGGAGGUGAUGUCUGAGUCAAGAGUCUCAGAGAUAGCGAGGUAGCGCCGAUUGGGACUGAUGGCCAAGGCCAACAUGCCCUGACUCUUUUCUGAACCUGCAAACAGAGGUGAUGGGAAGCAGAGGGCCACCUGUGAUGGACCGCAAGCUGAGGAGGUUACUGCCGAUGAAGAAGAUGAGGUCUCACUGUGUUGUCCAGGCUGGCUUGAACUCCUGGCCUCAAGAGAUCCCCCUGCAUCAGCCUUCCAAAGUGCUUGGAUUACAGUGAUUUCCUGAAGGAAAUAUAAUGAUCUGUUCAUCAAAGAAGAAGAUAUUGUUUGCCACGCGAGAUCGAAGACCAAAAACAUGCAGCGACUGAGCUACCACGGUAGACAUGGUCUCCUGCCAAAGAGCAA